rnacentral:lncRNA from 1 species
AACCGAUGCACCGGACGUUACGAGGUCUUCCACCACCAAACAAGCUUGACCCUUUUCGUAAACACCUUCGAUGGACUUGGCAGUUCCGUAGUCUUUCACUUCUUUGCGGCGCAUGAGCAUGGGGAUGGAGGUGUCGAGAGAGAUGGAGGUGGCUAUAGGGAGGGCAGUGUAAGGGACACCGCAUAUGAGGUUAAAGUGUGUUUGGGGAGGGAGAGAGGAGAGGAGGGAGUGGGAGAUUUGGUGGAGGAGGGAAGGGUAAGAGACUAUGAGACGGAGGUCUAUGUAGAUAGGGGAGAAGAUCCCAGAUUUCAGCUUGAAGUUACCGAAUUUAACGGCAGAGAUUUCAUGGAGUUGGAGGAUGAGAGACUCCGUUG